AGGCUCAUGCAGUCAGUCUGCAAGUGCAGUCAUUUAAGUUUUUUAAAAGUUGGAAUUAUUUUCAUAUUAUACAUAGAAAAAUCUUUGUCUUGGUUAUUAUGAAUCUAUAUUUUAAUCAAAACAACAAAAUUGCUGAUAUUUAAAUUUUGAGGAAGUUUGGUGGCUUUAACAUGAUAUUAAAUACAUUAAGUUAACCCUAUGUUCAUUUAUUUUUCGGGCACUUGGGGGCACUGCAACACGCUAUUGAAGAUAAAGUUUUUUAACACAGUGAGCAGGCACGGAGCAACAUUAACAUUGAUUUGGAAAACAACUGCCUGUUUGUCAAGAGCGUUGAGAGUGAAAAAAAAAACAGUAAAGUUCCUUCUGAAGUUAGCAUGCAAACCAGCAUGCCCCCCUAAUACCACACUGCGAGAGUUAGCAGCAUCCAGUCUACCCUCAGUCUAACAUGAGAGCUUGGAGUAACGCUGCCCGGUGGUCUUACAUGUCUUGUAAAGGCAACAAUGGCUGAGACCCUUGGUGGCAAGUUUUUUGGCUGUCUAAACACACAUUUACGACAAACAACCGUGGGAGAACAGAGAGGAAACACCGGCAUUCCAGCUGACUGUCUCUAUGGAAAGCCAUUAAAGGUAAAGUCACUCUUUUUUCUGUGUCAAAAUAUCCUCAGAGUAACAGUAACGUUAACCAAGAGGAUUGCUUUCAUUUCACUCGGCAGCUAAGACUUAUGAGGGCUUUGUCGCUGGGCUCAAAGGCUUACAAACCUUA